ACCAGGCCCAAUAGAAGCUCAGUUAGUAGAGCAUGAGACUCUUAAUCUCGGGUGAUGAGUUCAAGCCCUGCGUUUGAUG